rnacentral:misc_RNA from 1 species
AAAAACCCUUAAAACAAUUACAAAUUAUCAAAAUGCAAAAGAAGUAGACCCAACUAACUAAAGUUUAUGGAGUUUAUGGCUCCGCCACUACUCAGAUUCCUCCUCUAGAUCUUUAUAGCUCAUAUUUCUAUUUCAGAGAUUGAAAAAUACCUGAGAAAUUGAUUAAAGCUAUUGGAAAAUCUCUCUCUAUCUCCUUUCUCUGUCCCUCAAAAGGACAAAGCUAGC